GUCCUUGCUGUAAACGAUGCAUACUUGGUGUAGUUGGUCUCAACCCCGACUGUGCCGUAGCUAACGCGUUAAGUAUGCCACCUGGGGAGUACGCUCGCAAGGGUGAAACUCAAAAGAAUUGACGGGGGCCCGCACAAGCAGUGGAGCAUGUGGUUUAAUUCGAUGCAACGCGAAGAACCUUACCCAGGCUUGACAUUGAGAGGACCGCAUCAGAGAUGAUGUUUCCCGCAAGGGCCUCUUGACAGGUGCUGCAUGGCU
rnacentral:rRNA from 1 species